UACGUAGGGGGCAAGCGUUGUCCGGGUUUAUUGGGCGUAAAGAGCGUGUAGGCGGCUAGGUAGGUCCGUUGUGAAAACUCGGGGCUCAACCUCGAGACGCCGGCGGAAACCAUCUAGCUAGAGUCCGGAAGAGGAGAGUGGAAUUCCUGGUGUAGCGGUGAAAUGCGCAGAUAUCAGGAAGAACACCCGUGGCGAAGGCGGCUCACUGGACCGGUUCUGACGCUGAUGCGCGAAAGCGUGGGGAGCAAACGGG
rnacentral:rRNA from 1 species